rnacentral:misc_RNA from 1 species
AACUGAAAAUUUUGCAGUUCUACCUGGGCCUAAGUUUAUCUCAAUUGUACAACAAAUUUCUAAGUGUGAACCUUUAGUCCAGAACAAAGGCUUCGCAGACAUGAAAACCCCACCAGAUGGAAAAUAUCUCUCUAUUUAUAUCUCUAUCUAUUGAAUCUAAGAAAUGUACACAAGAUUCAGCUUAUUAGUCUUUUUCUCCCUCCCUUCUUUGAAUUAUAAAUUGGCAAGAAAAGCUUGCCUUCUUCUCUAUUAUUGAUGAUUAUCUUAUGGGAAGAUCAAUAAGCCUAACUAGAGUGAUCCCUCGAUCUGCGUUGCAGAAAGAAAGAGAUGAGAAAGGAAGGAG